rnacentral:rRNA from 1 species
GCUUAGAGUUUGAUCCUGGCUCAGGAUGAACGCUGGCGGUAUGCUUAACACAUGCAAGUCGAACGGAGUACUUCGGUACUUAGUGGCGGACGGGUGAGUAACGCGUGAGAAUCUGCCUUCAGGAUGGGGAUAACAGUGGGAAACCAUUGCUAAUACCCAAUGAGCCGAGAGGUAAAAAAUUUAUUGCCUGAAGAGGAGUUCGCGUCCGAUUAGUUAGUUGGUGGGGUAAAGGCUUACCAAGACGGCGAUCGGUAGCUGGUCUGAGAGGAUGAGCAGCCACACUGGGACUGAGACACGGCCCAGACUCCUACGGGAGGCAGCAGUGGGGAAUUUUCCGCAAUGGGCGCAAGCCUGACGGAGCAAUACCGCGUGAGGGAGGAAGGCCUUUGGGUUGUAAACCUCUUUUCUUAAGGAAGAAGAUCUGACGGUACUUAAGGAAUCAGCAUCGGCUAACUCCGUGCCAGCAGCCGCGGUAAUACGGAGGAUGCAAGCGUUAUCCGGAAUUAUUGGGCGUAAAGCGUCCGCAGGCGGCACUAUAAGUCUGCUGUCAAAGACCGCAGCUCAACUGCGGAAAGGCAGUGGAAACUGUAGAGCUAGAGUACGGUAGGGGUAGAGGGAAUUCCCAGUGUAGCGGUGAAAUGCGUAGAGAUUGGGAAGAACACCAGUGGCGAAAGCGCUCUACUGGGCCGUAACUGACGCUCAGGGACGAAAGCUAGGGGAGCGAAAGGGAUUAGAUACCCCUGUAGUCCUAGCUGUAAACGAUGGAUACUAGGCGUAGCUUGUAUCGACCCGAGCUGUGCCGAAGCUAAC